AGGACGAACGCUGGCGGCGUGCUUAACACAUGCAAGUCGAGCGGAAAGGCCCUUCGGGGUACUCGAGCGGCGAACGGGUGAGUAACACGUGAGUAACCUGCCCCAAACUUUGGGAUAACCCUCGGAAACGGGGGCUAAUACCGAAUAUUACUUCUGGUCGCAUGGCUGGUGGUGGAAAGUUUUUCGGUUUGGGAUGGACUCGCGGCCUAUCAGCUAGUUGGUGAGGUAACGGCCCACCAAGGCGACGACGGGUAGCCGGCCUGAGAGGGCGACCGGCCACACUGGGACUGAGACACGGCCCAGACUCCUACGGGAGGCAGCAGUGGGGAAUAUUGCGCAAUGGGCGAAAGCCUGACGCAGCGACGCCGCGUGGGGGAUGAAUGCCUUCGGGUUGUAAACCCCUUUCAGCAGGGACGAAGCGAAAGUGACGGUACCUGCAGAAGAAGCGCCGGCUAACUACGUGCCAGCAGCCGC
rnacentral:rRNA from 1 species